CACCGCCUCUCCCCAUGCUUUUUGCCAAGGUGGGAAGAGCCGGUCACCUCCAACCUGCCGAACACUGCAAACAGCAUCUUCCUGGCCUGGGAAGGAGCGUGGGAAGACACCAUCAGGCAGUGGCUAAUAAUUGGAUUGUGGCUAAUGCAGAACAUCCCCUUGAAUAGUUUCCUGAUGUGGAGUUGCUCCUGGCAGGGUUCAGAGGGGCCCCAGCGUUGCUGCUGUUCGUCUCCGUGCAAACUCAUGGGAAGAGCUCGCUCCAGGGGGAAGCGCUUGGAGGCUGAAGGAGUGGAGGGGCUCCUGCUCCACACAGGUGGAGGUCACGACAUGGCCUAGCCCAUGUGUGUCGUGACAAAGACUUGAGAGAAAGGAAACCGCAGCAGCAAGGCAGGACCUCCAAACCCAUCCUUGCUCUGCUUGGAGCUCCCAGCAUGGCGUACACCAGACAUUACCCCUGGACAACGGAGCAUUGAAGGAUAUGGCACAGGAGGGUGAAAUACAGGCAGAUGUUUCUAGUGAUUGUUCAGCACUUUUCCUCUGCGUGCUUCCAGAAAGGACUUCAGCCCAAAAAAGGAUGUCAAGACAGGAAGGAUAUUGAGUUGGCUUCGGCUCUGUCAUACAAAUAGCUUCGAUGACCUUUCCCUAGCAAAACACCAACUAUCACUGUAUGCAUUUAUUCUAAAGAGUUGUCAGCUCUGGAAGAGCGCAGCCGUUUCACAAAUAGGAAAUAUAAAGGCAGAUAGAUUAACAGAUAAGUUGAUAGAUAGAUGGAUACGUGUGCAGUAGAUAGAGAAAUAGAGAUGGACAGACAAAUGCAACCUUUGCAAAACCUUACUUUAAGUGCCCUCAUUUAUAACCCUAUGGGUUCUGAUGCUUUUGGAAGGGGACUUCAUGUAUCUUCAUACCGCUCCUGAGUGUGGCAGUAUUUGCACAGUGUUAAUCUCUCAGGUCUGAUCCUGUACUCCUUCCCUCCAGACAUGGUUCCCAUCCAGAUGGGGAAACUGAGGCACAGAGCAGCAAAGUAGCUUUCUAAAGGCCACGUAAGAUGCAAGAAGCGAUGUGAGGAAUGGCAGACCCAGGACCCUAAUUCUCCAUCCCCUUUUCUAACCGUUGCCCCUUGCCACGUUGCCCAGGAUGUGAUCCCUGUCUCACUUCUAAGAAGAUGUUGCCUCCUUUAAAGGGUAGUGAAUACCCACCUACGGGAUUUUGUAUGCAUGUGUGAGUCAUGCGGGAAGAGCAGAUAGGCGUGAGGUGGGAGCUGGGCACUUUCCAGGAAAAGCUGGGCUGAAACCACAGAAGCCAUUUCCUUGCAGACGAGAACCAUCCUACUCCACCAGAAACACAGCUUUGCAUGUGCUGAUCCCUCCGGGGGCUGAGAUUUGCUUCCAUAGUGCUGCACUGCAGAGCUGCCCCGUGUCCACCGCUGGACUGCUCCCAACAGGGGGUCCUCGCAUGAGGAAGACCAUGAAGGCCUGGGACCAUCGCUGCCUCAUUGCUGUUUUUGCUUCUGCUGCGUCUCUUGUGGGUGCUUGUGGGCACCCUGCUCAGGGGUUCAUAGCUGACACAGGUAAAGAUCUGUGGGUACCUGUCUUUUAAGUGGGACAUAACACGUGGCCUAUGAAAGUCUUGAUUUUUGCCCACAUUCCUAGCACUCUCCACCAGCAGCAGUUACAUCAGGGAUGUAAUUCCAUCUUCACCUGUCAAAACCCAGGCCUCUGAGCUUCACUGAAGAAACUACCCCAUCACCUCGUUAGCAACAGCAGGCUCAGAGGCAGUCCGUCUCUGCACAGCCGCCCUAAGCUUUUCUGUCAGGUUUAACUCAAACCAGACCGCCAUUCCUUAAGCAAAAUCCCUCCUCCACCUCUGGAGGUGCUGGAGACCUGGGUUCACACAGCAUGGAGCAGCCAGCACGCUUUCCUGCAUGCUUCCUUGUAGCUGAGGCUGUAGAGGUGCAAAUGCUAGCUUGGGUAAUUUGCCCAACUUCUCCCAUCCAGAAGAGGUGAAACAAAGGAAAUCAGAAUCGUGGCUGAGGUAGGAAGGGACCUCUGGAGAUCAUCUAGUCCAACAAACA